rnacentral:rRNA from 1 species
UACGAAGGGAGCUAGCGUUGUUCGGAAUCACUGGGCGUAAAGCGCACGUAGGCGGAUGUGUCAGUCAGGGGUGAAAUCCCGGGGCUCAACCUCGGAACUGCCUUUGAUACAGCACAUCUUGAGUCCGGAAGAGGUGGGUGGAAUUCCUAGUGUAGAGGUGAAAUUCGUAGAUAUUAGGAAGAACACCGGUGGCGAAGGCGGCCCACUGGUCCGGUACUGACGCUGAGGUGCGAAAGCGUGGGGAGCAAACAGG